rnacentral:rRNA from 1 species
GACGAACGCUGUCGGCGUGCUUAACACAUGCAAGUCGAACGGAAAGGCCCUGCUUUUGUGGGGUGCUCGAGUGGCGAACGGGUGAGUAACACGUGAGUAACCUGCCCUUGACUUUGGGAUAACUUCAGGAAACUGGGGCUAAUACCGGAUAGGAGCUCCUGCUGCAUGGUGGGGGUUGGAAAGUUUCGGCGGUUGGGGAUGGACUCGCGGCUUAUCAGCUUGUUGGUGGGGUAGUGGCUUACCAAGGCUUUGACGGGUAGCCGGCCUGAGAGGGUGACCGGCCACAUUGGGACUGAGAUACGGCCCAGACUCCUACGGGAGGCAGCAGUGGGGAAUAUUGCACAAUGGGCGGAAGCCUGAUGCAGCAACGCCGCGUGCGGGAUGACGGCCUUCGGGUUGUAAACCGCUUUCGCCUGUGACGAAGCGUGAGUGACGGUAAUGGGUAAAGAAGCACCGGCUAACUACGUGCCAGCAGCCGCGGUGAUACGUAGGGUGCGAGCGUUGUCCGGAUUUAUUGGGCGUAAAGGGCUCGUAGGUGGUUGAUCGCGUCGGAAGUGUAAUCUUGGGGCUUAACCCUGAGCGUGCUUUCGAUACGGGUUGACUUGAGGAAGGUAGGGGAGAAUGGAAUUCCUGGUGGAGCGGUGGAAUGCGCAGAUAUCAGGAGGGACACCAGUGGCGAAGGCGGUUCUCUGGGCCUUUCCUGACGCUGAGGAGCGAAAGCGUGGGGAGCGAACAGGCUUAGAUACCCUGGUAGUCCACGCUGUAAACGGUGGGUACUAGGUGUGGGGUCCAUUCCACGGGUUCCGUGCCGUAGCUAACGCUUUAAGUACCCCGCCUGGGGAGUACGGCCGCAAGGCUAAAACUCAAAGGAAUUGACGGGGCCCCGCACAAGCGGCGGAGCAUGCGGAUUAAUUCGAUGCAACGCGUAGAACCUUACCUGGGUUUGACAUGGAUCGGGAGUGCUCAGAGAUGGGUGUGCCUCUUUUGGGGUCGGUUCACAGGUGGUGCAUGGCUGUCGUCAGCUCGUGUCGUGAGAUGUUGGGUUAAGUCCCGCAACGAGCGCAACCCUUGUUCACUGUUGCCAGCACGUUAUGGUGGGGACUCAGUGGAGACCGCCGGGGUCAACUCGGAGGAAGGUGGGGAUGACGUCAAGUCAUCAUGCCCCUUAUGUCCAGGGCUUCACGCAUGCUACAAUGGCUGGUACAGAGAGUGGCGAGCCUGUGAGGGUGAGCGAAUCUCGGAAAGCCGGUCUCAGUUCGGAUUGGGGUCUGCAACUCGACCUCAUGAAGUCGGAGUCGCUAGUAAUCGCAGAUCAGCAACGCUGCGGUGAAUACGUUCCCGGGGCU